rnacentral:rRNA from 1 species
UGAACGCUGGCGGCGUGCCUAAUACAUGCAAGUCGAGCGAACAGACGAGGAGCUUGCUCCUCUGACGUUAGCGGCGGACGGGUGAGUAACACGUGGAUAACCUACCUAUAAGACUGGGAUAACUUCGGGAAACCGGAGCUAAUACCGGAUAAUAUAUUGAACCGCAUGGUUCAAUAGUGAAAGACGGUUUUGCUGUCACUUAUAGAUGGAUCCGCGCCGCAUUAGCUAGUUGGUAAGGUAACGGCUUACCAAGGCGACGAUGCGUAGCCGACCUGAGAGGGUGAUCGGCCACACUGGAACUGAGACACGGUCCAGACUCCUACGGGAGGCAGCAGUAGGGAAUCUUCCGCAAUGGGCGAAAGCCUGACGGAGCAACGCCGCGUGAGUAAUGAAGGUCUUCGGAUCGUAAAACUCUGUUAUUAGGGAAGAACAAAUGUGUAAGUAACUAUGCACGUCUUGACGGUACCUAAUCAGAAAGCCACGGCUAACUACGUG